UGGACAGAUUAUUGUAAUCGACUGUAUUCACGGCGUGAAACAGGGGAUUACACUAUUUUUAAACGGAAAAUGAAUCAAUCAACAUAAUAGACUCCU
rnacentral:pre_miRNA from 1 species